UACGUACGAGGCGAGCGUUAUCCGGAAUUACUGGGCGUAAAGCGCGCGCAGGCGGUCCUUCAAGUCAGAGGUGAAAGCCCAGAGCUCAACUCUGGAACGGCCUUUGAGACUAGAGGACUUGGGUACGGGAGAGGUGAGUGGAAUUCCGAGUGUAGAGGUGAAAUUCGUAGAUAUUCGGAAGAACACCAGUGGCGAAGGCGGCUCACUGGCCCGUUACCGACGCUCAGGCGCGACAGCGUGGGGAGCAAACAGG
rnacentral:rRNA from 1 species